AGUUAAGUAGCACUUAAGUGUUUUUUACUUACAAUAAAAGGGUGAAUGUUCGUUCCUUUGCUC
rnacentral:tRNA from 1 species